UAUGUAACAUCAAGUGAAAGAUUUUAUGCUCACGCUGGAACAAAAUGCAAAUUGUGCAUUUCUCUCUGGAGAGCUGAACCUUAAUAAGGGUCGUUAAACAAACCAAGGCCAUGAAAGAUUGACACUCCCUCAGAAGCAAAAUGUACAUUUGCUCCCUCUAGUAAACCUCUAGCUACAUGUGUUGUCGAUACUUGUGUCAUAUAUGCACCCCAUAUGUUGGGGAAGUAACCUUCUCAACCAAGAGAUCAAACCCUCAAGAUCCAGACAUA
rnacentral:lncRNA from 1 species